ensembl:processed_transcript
CUUAGGUAAUAAGGGGGUAACAACCCAGCCGGCACACGACCGACCUUCAACGUUGAAAUAUGGAUGAAAUAAGGUCAGAUGUGUUUUGAACGUUGAAAUAAUGUUGAUAGAACGUUUAAUGUUGAACGGUUGAAAAACAGCCUGCAUAUGACAAGGCUUCAACGUUGAAAUAUGGUUGAAAAUACGUCAGUAGUUGCUUUAAUGUUGAAACAAUGUUGAAUGAUAAAUGGUUGAAAAAAGUUACAGAAAUCCUUGUACAAAUCAACGUUGACAUUUUUUUUAUCAUGAUCUGUAUGUUGAAUUAACGUCAUGGCUUCACCCAAUAUUCAACAUGUUUGGUUACCAUGGUAUCGGAGGACUCGGCGCACGCGGCCGCGCGCAGCGCUUCACUUCACUUAAUUACGAACACCUGACCUGCAGUGCAGCAGAAUUCAGAGUCUUGUUUGCGCUCCGGUGACGCGCAGCUAACCUCGAGAGAUGUAACUUACUUCAGAGACGCACUAACUUGCACAGCAUUGAAUGGAAAAGGCUUUGUCCAUGUCCAGUUGAGGGGCAUCAAGAACACGCAGAUGGCCUAAACCUGUGUCAGCCUGGACAGACUGCAGUUCUGCUAUUCCACGCCAAGGCUUUUGUAUGGAUGUCUGACUACUACUGUGUUCUCUAAAGGUUUUCUGGAAGCUCCAUUUGAGUUCAUCAAGGACAUACUGAUGGCCUAAACCAGUGUCAGCCUAGACAGACAGACAGACAGACAUCUAUUGCAGCUCUGCUACACCACACCAAACUCUCUGCUUUUGUAUGGAUGUCUGACUAGUACGGUGUUCUCUAAAGGUAUAACUGGAGCAAAACAACAGCACCCGUUACAGUGAAAUUUGUGUUCAUAAAAGAUAGUGAUAUAUGUGUAACAGGUCCAGUACAUUUGUCAUAAAGGUUAAAUCACAGUAAGUACUGUAAAAAUAACUUGUUUGCCUUUGCCACAACAGGUCAUAUAUACGCUAACACAUUUGUAUUUACUGUUUUGUUUUGCCUCACUAAAGUGUUGUUGGAGCUUGGUAUGUUCACAGUUGAAAUCACUGAAGUCACAUGGAACGUUUUGACAAUGUGUUUUGUGCCUUAUCUUGACAAUGACCAUCUUGGGACUAUUGCUGUCUGUAGAGGAUGAGGAGCAUUUAAUCUAAAAUAUUUUAGUUUGUGUUCUGAAGAUUAACAGGUCUCUGGGAUGACACAAGUACUUAAUAACAGAACCUAUAUGAACAGUUAAUGUGACAUGUAAUAGUGAAAUAGUGGUCCAACAUUCACAAAUGUGAGCCAUUAUUAUAAGACCCAUGUGAACAUGCAAUUUUUAUGAUACUAAUAAUAAUAGAAUAACAAAUUGCUUUUACUGUUGUGUUUGUGAGCGAGAAUCAAAUCAUAUAUUCUACACAUUUUCUUGAUGAUUUACUGAAAUAUUUGUCUACAUGUUCCACUGUCACAGGUGCUCAGUUUUGCUGCAGUAAUGCUAAACACAAUAGAUGUAC